ensembl:lncRNA
AGAAGGCAGCCUUGCUGCUGGUUGUUGCUGCUGCUCCUGCUUUUUUAAUGGACUGUUUCUCCCAUGCAGUGACCCUCUGCCAUGCUGCCCUGCCUUAGAGCCAUCCACCUAUGUACUGACUCCUCUACAAACUGUGAGCUGAACUAAACAUUUCCUCCCUCAGCCUUGCUGCUGGUUGUUGCUGCUGCUCCUGCUUUUUUAAUGGACUGUUUCUCCCAUGCAGUGACCCUCUGCCAUGCUGCCCUGCCUUAGAGCCAUCCACCUAUGUACUGACUCCUCUACAAACUUGACCCUCUGCCAUGCUGCCCUGCCUUAGAGCCAUGCAUCUAUGUACUGACUCCUCUACAAACUGUUCCAUGGAAACAUACUACUGUAAAAGUCCAUCAUGACACGGGAACUUGCUCCAUGCUGUAGUGACAAGGCACAAUUCUUCAGCUCUCAGGAUGAUGACUGUACCAUGUAAAGAGGAACCUAGCACAGUGAUGGCCCCACGUCACAUGCCCUGGGGCACUCAGCCUCUGAUGGAAAUCUCUGGUCACCCCCCCCCCACCACCCCGCACCCCACCCCAGGUCAGGACUCUCAUCAUGGCCGUAGGUUUCUGCAGGUCUCUUCUGCUCCUCCCUGGAUAGGGACUGCAUGGGUGGGAGAGACAUGGUGCGUCGUCAUUAACACUCAAAGCUAUUUUGAUUUGGUUACAAGAUUUACAACUCCUCUGAAUCCAAAAAGGACUAGAAGCUUGCAUUACCAAUUUAUACAUAUAGAAGAACAAAUAAAAUUUAAAUUAAGCCUGAGCAAUAAUGACAAAAGACAGAAGGAUCAAUUGUUCAUUUGACUAAGAUACUAAGAUAGCCAGGCAUGGUGGCACAUACCUGUUAUCCCAGCCUCCAGGAGGCUGAUGCAGGAGAAUUAUCAUUUGAGGCCAGCCUAACCUACAUAGUGAGACCCCGUCUCAAAAAACAAAAACAAAAACACACAUAAUUUCGAGCUCCUGGUCCCAAGCCCAAGGCACAAGAAACUGUAUCAUGCUGUUCUAUUGUCUCACAGAGGUUGGGAUUCUCAGGUAGACGGGACAGAGUGCUCUGUUUGAGCAGGAAGGAUUCCCUUAGAUCCCUGGGAAGGGGCCUCCUGCUGCAGAGUAAGCAGUGGUGCAGAGGAGAGGCCUUCUAGAAGGAUUCAGCGGCCACUCUGCCUCCAGGUUUCUUAUUUACAUAUCUCUUCUUCCCCACUCCCAGGGCCCCGACUUGGUGUUUACCAGUGAAUUCAUUGUGAAAGUGCAGCUCCAGUCACCUCUGGAACCUGCAGAUGGCAUAAUUAGGGAGCAGGGCACUGAUGGUGUUAGUGGACAGCACUGAGCGAGGUCACGCUUGUGUGCAUCAUUACCCCCACUGUGUCUGCACCCCUCCUCAUGAU